CCUCGCGCGGCGUCGGGCGACGCCUGUCCAGUCCCCGCAGCCUAGCGCGGGCGGCGGCGGGCGAUGGAGAGCAGAGCCCCGGGCCCCGCCGUCCUCCAGCGCGCUCCGCUGCAACCCCGCAGCUGAGCCCAGAGGCUCCGGCCCUGUGCGCCCUACCGCGGCCCCGCCACUAUGGCCGGCGUGUGGGCGCCGGAGCACUCGGUUGAAGCGCACAGCAACCAGUCAAGUGCUGCCGACGGCUGCGGCUCUGUGUCCGUGGCCUUCCCCAUCACCAUGAUGGUCACUGGCUUCGUGGGCAACGCGCUGGCCAUGUUGCUUGUGUCGCGCAGCUAUAGACGCCGGGAGAGCAAACGCAAAAAGUCUUUCCUGCUGUGCAUUGGCUGGCUGGCGCUCACCGACUUGGUGGGGCAGCUCCUGACCAGUCCGGUGGUCAUCCUCGUGUACCUGUCGCAGCGACGCUGGGAGCAACUCGACCCAUCGGGGCGCCUGUGCACCUUCUUCGGGCUGACCAUGACAGUGUUCGGACUGUCCUCGCUCUUGGUGGCCAGCGCCAUGGCCGUGGAGCGCGCCCUGGCUAUCCGUGCGCCGCACUGGUAUGCCAGCCACAUGAAGACUCGCGCCACGCGCGCGGUACUGCUGGGUGUGUGGCUGUCUGUGCUCGCCUUCGCGCUGCUGCCUGUGCUGGGCGUGGGCCGCUACAGCGUGCAGUGGCCCGGCACGUGGUGCUUCAUCAGCACCGGGCCGGCGGGCAACGAGACUGACUCUGCGCGGGAGCCGGGCAGCGUGGCCUUUGCCUCCGCCUUCGCCUGUCUAGGCUUGCUGGCUCUGGUGGUGACCUUUGCCUGCAACCUGGCGACCAUCAAAGCCCUGGUGUCCCGCUGCCGGGCCAAAGCCGCCGCCUCGCAGUCCAGCGCCCAGUGGGGCCGGAUCACCACGGAGACGGCCAUCCAGCUUAUGGGGAUCAUGUGUGUACUGUCCGUCUGCUGGUCGCCGCUAUUGAUAAUGAUGCUGAAAAUGAUCUUCAAUCAGAUGUCAGUAGAGCAAUGCAAGACGCAGAUGGGAAAGGAGAAGGAGUGCAAUUCCUUCCUAAUCGCCGUUCGCCUGGCUUCGCUGAACCAGAUCUUGGAUCCCUGGGUUUAUCUGCUGCUAAGAAAGAUCCUUCUUCGAAAGUUCUGCCAGGUAGCAAACGCUGUCUCCAGCUGCUCUAGUGACCAACAGAAAGGGCAGGCCAUCUCCUUGUCUAAUGAAGUAGUACAGCCAGGGCCAUGAAAGAGAACAGAGCCAAUGAGCUUAGACACAGCUUUUGCAGCCAAUGUCUCUAACCCUUAUGGACCGAGGCAUCUCUGGUAUGCUGCUGUUUAUGUGGUGGAGUGGAAUUUUUGAUAUAAAGCUAGAUGGUCUGAGGAACAUAGAUAAUCCUUUCUGUGCCAAAGUCCAGAAAUACAAACAAAGGAAAAUCUGUUAAUAACAGUCUAGCAUUUUGAGUCUCUGCCAGUGUUAGCUGAAUAUGGGGUUAUUUAUGUGAUGAAACACUGAUAAACGACCUUGAGGUGCUUGGGGGGUAAGGGUGGUUGCUUUCCCAGCACAUUGUGUGGGGAGUUGGGGGUGUAAACCCGUGGGCAGGAGAUGAGGCCACAGCAAUUUGUCUUGUCUGAGGACAUUGGUCAUGUUCUCUUUCACCAUCGUCUCUGUUACUUUUCUGACACUCUUUUUCUAUUCAAAAUUUAAAGCAUCUAAUUGGGUUUUUAAAAAAAAUGUAUAAUGUAUCCACAUAUUUAUUAUCUUGAUGUUAUUCAGAUACUGUUCAAUAGAUUAUCAGCUCAUAGCCUUACAAAACUUAACUUUGGUUGGGUUGGUAUGGAAGUUUAUUCUUUAAUUAAAAAGAUAUAACUCCACUUGGCUGCAAGUAAGACAGUGUAUGUCUACCCAUUGUUUUGGAAUGUUCUUUCCUUUGAAUACAUUUUGCAUUCUUAGAAGCCUGGAGGAAAGUCCUAACUGAUCUAUGAGAGUCAUGAACCAUAUUUCAGAAUGCUUCCUGAAGGCUGGAUUGGGAACUGAGGGUUAGUCCCGUUCCCAGUGUUCUCUGGUCUUUGAAGACCAGCUCUUAUUCUAGAACAAAUAGAAACUUAGAAACUAAAUAAAGAUUUACCAUAGUCUGGCUUCCUUGUAAGACAGGAGUAUUAAUGAUGACUUUUCAGCCUUUUCCCUGCCCUUGGGCUAGCACUCUCUCUCACCUCAGCUCUGUGGCCAGGCUUGCUUUUCACCCAGCUUACAAACAAGUGCACAGGCUUGACACUUUGGUUUGAUGUCUCCUUGUCUCACAGGUAGAUUACAAGCAGAAGCUUUGGGAUUCAAGGGCUUAAAAGUUACCCCACAAACAUUGUGUUCCUUCAGGACCCCCUGAGAUACUGUCUUUAUUCUUUGGCACCCUCCUUUCUGCAAGUUCAUUAAUAAUUAAUGUGAAGGUUCUGAUGUAUAAUUUAUUGCUUCCUAGUUUCUUCAAAGCUGAAGAUUUCUGUCUGCUUCUUAUAUAAUGGCAUUUUCUUAUGAUUAGUACCAGUUUGGAUGAGGUUGACUGUAACUGUCACGUUGUGUCUGUUAGAUUAAUUGUGCUCACUGGCCUAGGACAGUUCGGCUAAUCAAUCUAAAUAAUCAGGUCAAACCAAGUCAGAAUUUUUUUUCUUUUCUUUUUUUUCUGAGCUGGGGACCGAACCCAGGGCCUUGCACUUGCUAGGCAAGCGCUCUACCACUGAGCUAAAUCCCCAACCCCCCAAGUCAGAAUUUAAAGGCUGAUGGAGGCACUGUCACCAUCCAGAGUGUCUCCAUAAUUCGGAUGUGAAAAUAAAGACAAGAAUAAACCUAUACUAACCCUGUUAUAAAAAACUCCCUUUCAUAUGCUUUAUAGAGUAUAGGAUAAAACUCUCCUCCCCCAAUGCUUAAAUGACCUUAUAACAAAGAGGCUUUGCUUCGGAGGGGUUCUGAGCCCUCCCGUGAUCCGGUAAAAAUACAACUGGGUUUGAGUGGUGUAAUUUUGUUACUUCUUCCCACACCCACUCUAGCAUCUGGAAUAUAGGACUUUCCAAUAAACAUCGUUCAAUGAAUGAGUGAAUGAGAUUCUGCCAACACUUCUGCUUUUGACACAUUUUUUUUUCAGAUCACCCAACUUGUAAAUCAGAUGACUUCUUAUUUAGUGGAGUAAACAGAGAUCUGCCUUUAGAGGCAUUGGCUGUGCUGUUUUCCAGCAGGGUGUCAUUUCUGUUAAUAAUCUAAAGGAUAUAGUUCCAACUGGUCAAGGGAGUCACUCUGAAAAGAACAUCAGUUCUCAUCAAGGUUUAAACUUAUCCUAGGCUACGAAAUCAGUUCCUGUCCAGGGAUUAUGUGGUAGGAGUGAAUGGAUGGCUACUUUUGAACAAACUUUAAAGGAGGCAGCAAGGGAAGAAAUUGUGAGUUGUGUUACCCGAAAAGCCAUUGGGGAGUUCAGGAAAACUUGAUGAGAAGUAAAAGUCCCCAAAGUCUCAGUGUUGGAUGGCGAGCAUUCAGGGGUGUGCCAGCCAGGCAACACAGAGACAUCUCAGAGAACAUCUCAGAAAACAAUCACAGCAACAAAACAGUGCAAUUUAUCAAAUUUGCCUAAUGCCGUAUACUCAGGCAUUUUAAAUAAACAUUUAAUCUCAACAGGCUUAAACUAUUCUGAAAUGAAAGGCGUAUAUUUUUUGCAUAAUUCUUCUUUAUUUCAUAAAAGAUCUCCUGACAAAGUUACCGAAAACUAUACAAUGUCCCAUAAGUUAAUGGUGAGACUUAAAACUCACAGGCAGGCCGCAAAGUGGUGGCACCUUGGCAGCAUCCUGGUGCUUGAAGAUUUGAAAUCCAUUGAUUAUUUAAUCAACAGUUCUCACAGUUUUAUUGAUUGGAGGUCCCAAAUUAGUGACUGGCUUUCAGGUUUUCCCAGCAUAAAAAAUGAUUCAAUUAUUCAAUAGCUCCUUUGGGCUGAGAUCAAACCAGCAAUGGAGGUAUAGCUCUUCUAAAUUCAUUGUCAAGUGUGUUGCCAGUUAACUACAAAAGCACUCUGAAGCUGCACAUGAUAUAGGGAAGAGUGUUAAGCCACCAGCAAAGCGUUUGUUGCUGCAAAUACUGGAAUAGCUUAACUAGAAUAAUUAAAAUGUGUUUUAUCCACCCAGCCUUAGACUGCGACACAGUAUCACAGAUCCUUAUUUGAUGUUUGUUUUGUGAUAUUUUUAAAAUUAAAACAUGUCAAAAUUGAAAUAUACAUAAAUGUCUAAAAAUUGUGCAUCUCUGAUUAAGACGAGAGAUGUGUUUUCUGUGUUGUAACAAAGUGCUGAUAGGCGUUAAGCUACUGCUGACAUUUUCACAGUAUUAUGUAUGAACGUAUUACAAAAUUCAAAAGUCAACCCAGGGAAGUAGUUGGUAUUAGCCAAUGAAGCACAAACCAGAGAAUUAAGUAAACCUUUUAUGAACCAUGCUUUACGAUCACUAAGGUAAAGACCAUGUGAUACCAUGUGAACAUUUAACUCUCAGCAUUACAGCGUGAUACCAUAAGGAGAGAGCAUUCUCUGCAAAGACAGUUCCACCGUGUACAUCAUGAUGGCUACCUGUCUGAGUUCCACUGAGACAAAGAAUAUUAUUUUCAGAGCUUCUCACCUGCCAGCUGUGUGUCCUAAACUUUAAAUAGCCUGUGGGCUGGCUUUCUACACCCACCUUUGAAACUGAUUUACCCCCACUACCUUCCUCACCCCGCCCGCCUGUCCUCUCAGAGAAAACAGAGAACAGAAAUAUUUGUUGUUGACUAGGCUUGCAUUGUUCGUUUCUAGUCAGCCUCAAUGGAGCAAUUUUAUUAUGAAGGAAAGAAAGAAAUCUCCCAGAAAAAAAUCAAAACAAAUCAUGCUUUUUGAGUAUUUUGGAGAAUUCCACAUCAGUGUCCCCUUUUGAUUGUGAAUCUCUGGAUUCUUGUGUGAAGUGCUUUAGAUUUAAAGUAUAUGUAUCUUUUAAAGUCAGCAGGUUUUGGGACAGUGUAUAUAGCCAAGCACCAAAACUGAGCAGCCAUUUGAAAAUAAUUUCCUUGUGUAGUUAGUUUUCAGAUUCUGGAGAAAAAAAAAAUCAGUGUUUAUUGAGAAGCUAGGGGAGACUCACGCAAUUCAAGGUUCUUGGUGUUUUAGAAAGGACGGCUAUGUGCGUGUACACUGGAUGAGGUGGAGAACAUGGUAGGGAAGACUGUGUCCACUGCAACCUGUUUAAAUCCCUGGUCCUCUAAGACAGAACUCAGAAGCAGAGGCAGGGAGGGGCCUCAUUUAACUGGAGAUACUACUUACCAGGGAGACAAACAGUGUGGGGUUCGUUUUCAUAAAAGAAAUGGUAAAUACACAUUCACUUAGAUAAUAACACACACACACACACACACACACGCACAGAGAGAGAGAGAGAGAGAGAGAGAGAGAGAGAGAGAGAGAGAGAGAGAGAGAGAGAAAGAGAGAGAGAGAGAGAGAGGGAGAGAGACACUUAAUCUAUUGUCACAUUAAUUACUGUAGGCUGCUCACAGCUAACAGACAGGAACCCCACCCUCUGGGGUGAGGUACUAGCUGCACCUGCACUUUAAGCCCCACUCAGUUGCUCAGAGCAGGAAGUCCUCUACCUCUCCUGCUCACUGCUUUGUCCCCACUUGCUUGGCCAUGUAGGAAAGUGUGUUUUUGCCGUCUCGUGUAAAGCUUUGUGGGUAUUUCUUUGCAGUGUAUUUAAAUAUAACUGCCAUGUGUUCUAUAGGCUGAUACUCAAUACUGUGUAGUCAAAGAAUGAAUGUAUAAGAUGUGCAUCAGAAUUCUGAUGGCAUCCGAGGACAGCUUCUCUGUGUAUGUAAUAAAUGUCUGUUAUUUAUGUCGUCUGUCAAUGAAAAAUAAAGCAAAUGAUAUGAAAUGUCCCUGUUUUUAUUUCCCGAUCUCAGGAAUGUUUUCUUGUUGGGGAUAUUUUGCUCACAAUGGUAUUAAGCGUCUUGCUGACCUCCUACUUGCUGCACUUGGUCAAAUAAAAGCCCCGUGUCUAGCAACAGCCCUGUCCUGUUUGGAACAACUGUACUGUUUCGAUUCUGACUCUGUAACCCCAUGCAGGAAGUCACUGAUUCUCUCCACUGUGGAGAGCCUCUUGGUCUGCAUUUUCAGCAUGCUGCCUCUCUCCAGAUUGCUGUUUUUAAUGCAAAACCCCAUUCAUACAUUAAACUUUUUCCUUGCUCUUGUGGAUUCUGGUGUAAUCUACCACUGGUGCCUGAGCUAUCAGAGACCUUUGACCAUCAGGCCCCAGUGUUGGAUUCUUGUGGUGGUGAUGGCCAGGCUCCACCCCUCCCCUGCUCUGCAAAUCCAGACAUAUUAAAACUAGUGCGCUGAGCUUACCUGCCUUCCUCCUAAGAAAAGGCUUCUAGGACAAAGUCUCUUUUCUUUUCCUCUCCCAUGGGAGUUGUAAGGCCAGGAUCACGUUCUUAAUUAUGCACAACUUCAGGGAAAGUCAUUGUAGCCAGAGUGGGUAUGUCUGACUAGAAAUCCCCGCCACAGUGAUGGGAAACCUGCGGGCUGUGGCGUGCGAUGCCCCUGUGUUUGUGUCCUGAGCAGGCAGAGUCAAUUGUUCUUCAUGACCUGGUGCUUGCUGAUAGCUGCUGGGUGAAUGCAGUGCAGCUGACACAGGCGUGGAGUCCAAGCCAGUUCCUCAGCUCUGUUCUUCUCUCUGCAACUUUGUGUACCGGGUUCUACCUCUGUCUGGUAGGAGAUAAAACAUCAGGAUUCGUUUUUUUAAACCUGGAGCUUUGUGAGACCCAGUGAAAUGACUGAGCAGUCAAGGUAUCUGCUGCUAAGCUUAAUAACCUGGGUUGGGUCCUGGAGAUUCACAUAAUAGAGAGAGGAACCAAGUCUAGGAGGGUAUCCUCAGACCUCUACAUGCAGCCCUGGUACAUAUAUACACUCACACAGACAGGCAGAAGGACAGACAGAUAGACAGACACAGACACAUACACACACAGAGGGGUACGUAUAAGCACACACACACACACACACACAGAUAGGCACACACAGACACAUGCACAUACAGACACUCACAUACAGACAUACAUAGAAACACACACAGAUACACACAGACACAUACACAAUAAAUAACAUGCACUUAUUAUUUGAACUUACAAUCUAAUGCACUUACAAUCACACAGAAACAUAUACACAUACAGAGAUACACACAUAGACAUACAUAUAAACACGUAAACACAGAGACACAUACAUAUACAAGCAUACACAAACAGAUGCAUACAUACAAAGACACUAUCACAUACACACCGAACAAAUAAUGUGUAGUUUACACUUUGCAUUUAAAAUCCAGUGCACUUACAAUCACACACACACACACACACACACACACACACACACACACACAUAUAUACAUUCACACAGACACACAGGCUAAACAGAUAAUCUGUAGUUCAUACAUUGCACUUACAAUCUAGUGCACUUACAAUCACAUAAAGACAUAAACACAGAUAAACACAGGCAUAGACACAUAAACACAGACACAUACACAAAGACAUUAUCACACACACUAAACAAAUAGUAUGCAGUUCACACUUCACACUUCCAAUCUACUGCACUUAUAAUCACACACAAACAUAUGCACAGACACAUACUUUGCAUUUACAAUACAGUAGGAGAAAGGGAGUCAAUUCCAUCAGAGCUACAAAAUCACAGGGUUAUGGGUGGCACUGUGAAUCGAUGGGUGAUAUUUUAUUGUGUUUUGGAGAAAGGAAACUACUAACCUGGACGGAGGACAUUAGAAGACCUUUCACCUCACUUCUCCAGAACCUCACAGCUUUCUAAUUACUCUUACGGCUGACCUAACCUUCCAUCCACCUCUCUCUUACUCUUGAGCAGAAGUGACCAGCUACUCUUCUUGGCACUGCAAAUACACUUGGAGAUAGAUAUAGAUAUAGAUGGUAUAGAUGAUAGCUAUAGAAUAAAUGGUAUAGAUGAUAGAUAAAGAUAUAGAUAUCUGAUAUAGAUAUAGAUGGUAUAGAUGAUAGGUAUAGAUAUAGAUAUGUAAUAUAUGAUAUAUGACAUAGAUAUAGAUGUAUAGAUGAUAGGUAUAGCUAUAGAUAUAGAUGUAUAGAUGAUAGAUAUAUGAUAUGUGAUAUAGAUUAGAUGGCAUAAAUGAUAUAUAGAUAUAUGAUAUAGAUAUAAAUGGUAUAGAUGAUAGAUAUAGAUGGUAUAAAUGAUAGAUGUUAAGUGAUAUAUGAUAUAGAUAUAGACAGUAUAGAUGAUAGGUAUAGAUAUAGGUAUAGAUGGUAUAGAUGAUAGAUAUAGAUAUGAUACUUGAUAUUUGAUAUAUGAUAUAGAUAUAGAUGGUAUAGAUGAUAGGGGUUUAGAUAUAGACGGUAAAGAUGAUAGAGAUAAAGAUAGAUACAGCAUCUUAGCCUUUACUCACUGUAUGCCAGGAAUAUGUCCUAAAUGAGGACAAGAAAAAUUGUCUCAGACUUUGACAGGUAGACAUGUUGGUCCGCAAACAUGUGAUUUCAGAAAAGGGGCCACAAAUGCAGGUGGGUCUGUGUCAUUGAUGUCAGGCCUGGAAUGUGUGUGUGUGGCUACAGAGUGCAGCACUACCAUGACAAUAAUGCCUGGGUCACAGUGGCCUGACCAGCUUCUGUAAGCUCAUAAGCCUAUUCAUAGAAGGGGAGGUGCACUCUCUCAGGAGUAUUCUCUUUCUACUGACGCCCCGACAUCUAUUCUGGUGUCUCUACGAGGGAUUGCUAAUGGGAGUCUCUUUCUGUGUUUUAAUUCUCUGUAAUUAAGGACACAUUCCCUGGCAGGUGCCUUGUAGAGCUUUUCUUUAAAGGGUCUUUCAUCUUCCUGGUGUGUGUGAGAGAUGACCAUAGAACAUGCAUUUCCUCCUCAGAUGAUUGUAUCAUAGCCAGUGGAUAUUGAGGAAAUAUCUCAGGAUGAACCUACCAGGCUGGAUUCCUUAGACACAGAGUUGUUUACCAAAUGCUUUAAUAGUAUGUUUGAUCCCCUUCUUGUGCACAGUGCCUAGACCUCUCUCUCUGUGAUGUGUCAGAUAAAGCACAGCUCUCACCCUUACCACCUACCACCACCAAGUUCAUCUAGGACUCCCUCGGGAGUUGGUGGACACAGGUUAGGGACUCUUACUGACUUUCUUCAUGGGUCAGAAAUUGAGUAAGUCUUUCAUUUAAAAAAAAUGCUGAAAGCUGAAGACAUAACUAAGUCUAUGUGUUUACUUCCCAGUAAACAGCCACACUCCUUGACAUCUCCCUUCAGACCUAUGGGAACAGAUAGGAUAUGUGACAGGGUAAGGUGACUUCACCACACUACUGUCACUUUAAAAACUGUCAUUGCAUGAUGGCAAGACAUAAUGUGACCCAACCUAGUGAUAAGGAAUGGUCAUUUCUCACUCUAAACAGGACAGGAACAAAAUACAGAACCUUGUGCUUUCUGGGCAAUUGCUGCACUAAAUAGGUAUUCCCCGAAACAACUCUUUUUUCCCCUAUUUUUUAUUUAUAUGUUUGUCUGUUUAGUUGAUUUGUUGGUUGGUUUUGGUUUCUCUAUGUGGCCCUGGCUGUCCUGGAACUAUCUUUGUAGACCAGGCUGGUCUUGAGCUGAGAUCCACCUGCCUCUCCCUCUUGAGAGCUGGGAUUAAAGGUGUGUGCCACCACACUCAGUCCAUCUAAAACAAGUUUUUAAAGCAAAAGUUACCCAACGACUCAUUUGUCUUAACAGAAAGAGGAUUGUUUUGCUUCUCUUUGUGCUGAGCCAGCAAGAGGAGACUUAAAAUUAUAUUCAGAGUUUAGAAGAAACACAGCCCGAACUCUGAGUGCCGUCCACAUACAAACAAGCUAAUGAUUAGAAUGUGACACAAAUCUAUCCCUAGUUCUGCAUGAGCUCAGACUGCAUUGCUAUUUAAAAUGCAGAUGGCAGCCAGGUAUGGUCAUUCAUGCUUUUAAUCCCAGCAUUCAGGAAGCCGAGGCAGGCAGAUUUCUAUAAAGCCAGCCUGGUCUACAGAGCAAGUUCUAGGACAGCUGGGCCUACACAGAGAAACCCUGUCUUAAAAAGGAAAAAAGAAACAAAGAUGAAAAAUGCAGAUGGCAGUGAUGACCCAGCUGACCCAACCUUUGCACAGGAGUGCACGGCACACACCCUUGCACGGUGUGCUGUUGCCUUCAAAAGGAGGUGCACCGUGGUUUAUGGUCUGAGUUUCUCUGGGGGAAGGAUGGAGUGCUUUGUGAAAUUGAUCUCUGCCUUGCUCUCUGCUUCCUCAAUGAAGAUGGACAUGAAACCUUAGAGCCUUCAAAAAAUCCAUAAAUUAGAACUUGCUUUCUAAUGUGGAAGUAGGCUGCAUGUGACACGUGUGUAGACUUGCACUGCUGUGGGAGUAUCUUUACAACAUCACAUGGGGAUUCUCAAAGGGUCAGUGGUUUGGGGAAGAUUCACCAAGACUUCACUUUUGGAGAAAAGGGAUUGCCUAUUGUCACCUAGUUCUGCUAUUUACUGGCCAUUGAAAGCUUUUCCCUAACAUUGCAAUUUUCAAAACUAUGGAGACAAAAGUAAUUCUUGCUGAAAAUAAUUGUUGAAAUGUUAAUAUAUGGCCAAGAACGAUUAAUAGCUUAAGUGCUGUACAUUCCUAAUUAGGGCUGGCUUAUCAACAGCUUUGCCUGUGCCAGCUGAUAUUCCUGAUACAAUCUGUAGGUAAUUAAUAAUUUAAACUAUUAUUACUUAUUCUUCGAACAAAGUCAUUUCACAAAAAUGCUUUCUAAGUUCUUGCUAGAAGAAGUAAAAGAGGGAGUCCUCUAUGCUGGACAAGGAGUUAGGAUAUCAAGUGCAGAAGCCAGGCUGGCUAGUUUCUAGUUAGUUAUUUGUUCUUGAUAAAUCAACAGAUUUUUUUUUCUGAACUUAGAUUUCCAGCCAACCUAAGAUUCUUAGGGCAAGCGAACUCCAAAAGUCUCAACAUGCUAUUCUGGAGUUUGCUAUUAUUAUGCCAUUCUUGUUCAUUAGCAGAACACCAUCAGGAAACUAACUUGGCUGUUCCCAUCUUGAGCUAUCCAGACAGCUUCUGCCUCAGUAUUAGGCACCCACACUGUCAUUGGGUACACUCAAGCACUCUUAGCAGGCUGGUCCCUGACCCAGAUGGGACACAUGAUUUACAAAGAAUGCUUCAUUUCUUUUGGUCUUAUUUGUGAAAUAUGGGCUUGAUACAUAUGUGCACCACCUUCACACUGAAAAAAUUAAGAGCUUCUUGGUCUCUUUUAUAACUCAACUGUGUAGUUUUUCUAAACAAGUUUUUUUUCUUAAAAUUUUAUUUUUUGGUGAAAAUAUAUAUUUAAAAAAAAACAGAGAAAAGGGGGGAUGUUGUAUGAUAAAUGUGAUCAAAGUUCUUGAUGUACCUGAGAUUAUGUUUCUAAAGCCCUUCACUAUGUGCAAUGAAUGUGCCAAUAAAGUGUUGUUUUAAAAAGUCAAAUAAUGCCAAAGACUCAUCAUACCUCCACACUGCUAGGAGAUGGCUUCUCUCUCGGCCUCUGUCUUGGCAUAUUUUCAUUAGCAUGUUUCUAACUAAUGUGUAUGUUGCUUGCCUUGUUCCACCAUUACUGAACACUGCAUGCUGACCUUGGCUCUCUACGCCUUUAUUUCCUCUUUGUAGGUAGAAAACAAUUUUAAUGCUUUCUCCUGCCUUUAUUGGACUCCCUGCUCUGUAGACUCAGACCCACGCCUUAAGUUUUAGAUUACUCCUCAUUUUGAUGGAUUAGUAGAAUGUGUCAAGAGCCAAACCCUCAACUGGGCACGGUGAUGUACGGCACUUGGGUGGUAGAUAGACUCGACGUUGAAACCCGUAUUGACCGUGAGACUCGGUCACAAAACACAACCCAGAUGAACAGAAUUUAGGAUUUCUGGGUAUCUUUAAGUGAAUGUGAGCAAACCCGAGAUGAGAACAACCAACAGCGUAGACUUCAUUUCAUGAUGUCCUUAUUCACCGGGCUCACAGAUCCUGUGCCUGCACCGCAAGGUAGGUCUUGUCAUCAAAAUUUGUUGAGGAGGACUCAGAGGCUCAUGAGAGGUAAAUCUCCAACCAUGUCUGUUAUACAGAAUGUGAGCCAGGCUGGGCUUCACACCUGUUCUCAGCUUAAGUAUCACAUAAUCCCUGACCGAAGAAUUAUAGCUGUAGGCAUUUUCUGAAGCUCCAAGUUCACCUCUGAAGGCGCCACAGAGGCUCUGCCUAAGGAAGACUUCGGUGCUACUGAGACUGAGACAUUUUGAGAGGCAGACCCAUCUUCAGCAGCUACAAGGAGCCAGCUUUCUCAAUAGGAUUGCUUAGACCAGAAAACAAGCUUCUCAUCAAAACUUGGUAUUAACCAUAUGUCUAAUCUGUGCGUGUGCUCAGUGCUGCAAACAGCCAGGCUCUUCCUUGUUAGAUGAGUGAACAGUGGAGGGGAGAUGGCUUGGAGGUGGCGAGCGGUUGGCAGAAGUGGCAGACACUUCCUGCCCAGGCCUGUGGGUUUUGCAGAAGCUAAAAGCUUGUUACAAUGUGGUUUAUUCAAGAUCACAUCUCCCAGCCCCUUAAGUUUUUUACUUCUCCAGUUUUUUAGCAUGAGAGCGGCGUUCAGAAAAGCUGAAAAGCAAAGGGGUUUGCCUCUCAUUUACAAAGGGACUCGGGAAAACCUGUAGCCCAGUCGGCAGGAAAUUGUCCCUUCUGCCUGAUCUUGAAACUUGCUCUACCCUCUCUUUGCAAGAUGCAGUUUUGGGUGCAGACUGUUUUGUUGUUGUUGUUUGUUUGUUUGUUUUGGGUUUGUUUUUGUUUUGAGAAACAAAUAAUUCCUCUCUCUUUUUGGUUUUCCUUCUCCCGUUGCUUAACAGGGAGAAUCUACUUCGUGCUAGUCUUUUAAUCUCUAGUUUUCUCUCCUCAGUGCAAAGCUCUUCCUUCCCCUGCUCUGACCGACUAGAACAGUUAAAAAAAAAAUUCUCCACUGUUUUCAACAUCUCCAACCUCAAAUUCUGCUCUUGUUGCUAAGUGAAUUCUAAAGGCAGUCCACCCAAAGUGCUACUGAGUUGAAAAUUGGUGCAUACUGGAAUCUAUAUUUGAUCUCAUUUUUAAUGAUAUCUUGAGUAUUUCAAUAUACAUGCAGUCCUCAGGCAUCUUGGAACCAGGUGAAGUUUCUUCAGAACAGCUUCAACACAUUUCUUAUUUAUUUAAAAUUUUGCUUUUACUAGCCUAGAGUUAAUUAAACUAAAUUAAAUGAGUUGCACAGGGAAAAUGAGUGAUGAUUUCCCUGUGCUGGCCAGCUUCUACAAAGCUCACAUUGGGUAUGGCAUCCAGAAGUCUUCAUAAUAGUUAUCAGUGAUUAUGUGAUUUUGAAAUUAUAUAAUAAUUGAUGGGCCUCAUCUCAUGAGGACAUGGUUAAAUAAUUGAAGUAGCAAGGAAAGACCGUAUCUCUUGGUUUCCUUGCAGAAAGGACAGUACUCUGUCUCUCUGAAUAAAGGCCCACUAAGAGUUAAUAUUGUUCCCAUUUUCCCAGCACAACCUUUGGGGAGAGAAUAUCCUAGAGACAAGAGCAAGCAGAAUGCCAACUUGAUUGGUGGGAAAGUGUUUGGAAGGGAAGUGUCUCAGCCAGAGAAACUUCAGGGCUAUGGGAACAUGUGUCUGGGGAUCCAGAUGUGAGUAUUUGAAAGAAACUGUGUAAGAGCUCGUAAACAUUUGUAUGAAGAAGUGAGAUGUUUGCAUCUACCUUACAGGGCAGCUGUGAUGGUUAAAGAAAAUAAUGUAAGUCUUACAAAAUAGAGAGGGGGCACCCAUCUGGAGGGAGAAUUGCUGAAGUAGCCACAGUGCAUGAAGUGACAGCUGCAGUGGUACUAACCUGAGAGAUCCAUCAUACCACAUGGCCAUGUGGAGAGAGAGAGACUUCCUGACUCCAGGGCUCGUGGCUUGCCCCAUGUCAUGUUGCAUUUGAGAGCAUGGAGCAUAAAAAUUAGCUCUGUUAAUUUACUCAUUGGCUGAUCUUAAUCAAGUUAACAUCAUCUUUUCAAAUCUUGAGGUUAUCUAUAAGUGGAUGUAAAAAUUUUAUAUAAGGAAACAUUUUUUAUAAGCAUUUCAUGAAAUAAUGCCAGCAUAAGCACUUUGUUGUUUCAGUUUUGUAAAUUGUUAACAUUGAAGAAAGGCUUAGAAGACAAGUGGUCCAGUUUUCAAAGGCUAAGUGUAUUCACCAGUGUAUAAAAUUUGCCCCAUCAUCCCACUCAGGGUAAGAGAGGAAGGGUGUGGACUAGCUCCAUAGGAAGUAGGAGAAAUUAUAGGAAACGGCAAAAUAAGCAUAUCUGACAGCUUUGUUUUGUUCUAUUUUACUUGUUUAUUUACUAUUGCUGUGUACCCCAGGCUGACUUGGAACUGGGGACCCUCCUACCUCAGCCUCCCAGGUGCUGGGAUUACAAGUAUGUACCACCAUGCUUAGUUUAUAAUUAAAGUUUAAAUCUGUCUUUGUGAGAUAAGGGACCGUGUAGCUUCUCUCAAGCUUCUCUAACUCCAAAGAGGUCUUAGAGAAGUGCCUGUAUCAGCUUCCUUCUGCAGAGCUCAGGCUGGCCGUGCUCACCUGAGACACAUCAAUGUGAACCUUUCUCAGCAUCAGCUGGUACAGACUGGCAUGGCGUGCCUGUCACUUCACUGCCUUCCUCGGCCAAGGGGCACUAGAUCCAUGAAUCCUAGUUUAUAGGGAUUGUGAGUAUUUCGGAGAGGCAAAUCUCUGGCACACAGGCCAACACUAAACAUCACGAGGAGUCAGGUGUAUUUUUGUCACCAUUAUUUCAUGUAUAAAAUCACCAACAGACCUAUCAAGACCCGGGCAAAGAAAUAUUUUGUAUAUACAUAAGAUCAUUUUUAUGUGCUUUUAGUCAUGGAGUAAUUAGCAGACAGAACUAUCAAUGAAGUUUUUGGAACAUAUUGCAUUUGAGAAAAACAUGAGGUCAUUGAAUGUGUUUGACUGGGAUAGAAACAAUCACAUUUCUCCUUGCAUUUGGAUUCUCAGCAAUCCUUUGGUCCUGAAGGCCCCAUUUCUGCCGUGGUUUUGAUACUAUACAGGGAAGGGAUAUGUGUGGGGGAUAUUUGAUUUGUGUAUGUUUGGAUUACCAAUUGAAUACAUGAUUAUUUGGUUUCUUCAGUCUCCACAUAUCUAUACAGAACAUUGUUAAUAUGGGGCUCCAUCCCUGGGAACUAAACUUUGCCAUCACACAUUCCAGAUUUAAGAUUACAUCACACAAUCCAAGUUUGAGAUUACAUCACACAUUCCAGAUUUAAGAUUACAUCACGCAUUCCAGACCUCAGAUUACUGGAUUCUUUAAGACAGUCUCGGUUUUUUAUGAAUUUUAUCUAGAGCAUUAAUAUUUUCACCAAAAUAUAAACAGCCCUUUAUUUAAUUUUCCUCACAAUUACACUAUAUAUUCAAGUGUGAAUGGAGAAAAGCAGAGAGCAGAGGAAAAUUACAAGAGGCCACUCAGAAUGAGCCAUCACCGUCCCUUGAAAAGCUGGUGUUUGAAAGUCUCUCCUUGAGCCUGAUGGAGCCAAGAUGGAGUAUCUGUGUAUUAAAGAAUCACAUAGAAUCAGACCAGACUGGCCUCAAGCUCACAAAGAUCCACCUGCUUUUGCCUAUGAGAUUAAAGGUGUGGACCACCAUGCUGGGCUUGUCCUUUUUUCCCCCAAAAUCAACAAUAAAAUUGUUCUCUUUC